UCUCUCUGAAUCUGCGAACGGCUCCGCACACCAGUUGUAAGCUAAAGCGUGUCCCGCCCGGGGUCCCUCCGGGGGCCCCGGGCAUUUAUAUGGAUACCCGUGGUAAUUCUAAGGCUAAUACAUGACAAAGAACCCCGUCCGUUGGGCUCGCCCUUCCCCUCCGGGGGUUGGCUUGUUUCGGCGGCGGGGGGCGUGUGACCACAGGCAAGGGUAUACCGGGAAAGAGCGCACGUUCAGACCAUCGCUAAGGGCCUCCACGCGUCCCCGGGGGCAACCCCGGGGCGCAGCUUGGCCUGGUGGCCCACGCGAGGCGCUUCUGACCUAUCAACUAGACGGCAGCAUAAGGGACAUGCCAUGGUGACAACGGGUACAGAGGAUAAGGGUUCGAUCCUGGAGAGUGGGCCUGAGAGAUU
rnacentral:rRNA from 1 species